CAAAUUUUUACUGCGUAUCAUUUGAUACGACGAUAUCAGUUAUCAGAAAAAUUCCCGAUCGAUCGCUGAAUCGCUAACACUGGAUGCUAACACUAGAAAUACUACACCAGCCAAAAUGACUGGUUCUACAAUUUUCUAAAUUUGUCAACCCUCGUUUAGGAAUGAUGAACUAUAUAAUGAAUUUUAUUUUGCUUUUUAUGUAUUCAAACUGAAAAUAAUUUUGUAUCAAGGCUAUUUAUACCAAAACCAGUCAAAAUGAAUGGUUCUACAAUUUUAUAAAUUUGUCAACUCUCGUUUAGGGGUAAUGGUUCCAGAUGGAUUAAUAAUACCAAAAAUGUACUAUGUAACAUGGAAUUUCUUCUGUAAGAAAAUAUUAAAUCAAUAAAUAUAGUCUUAUAGUGUUAACACUAGAACUACCGAUAGUUAACACGAAGCCAUUUCUACCAAAACUAGUGAAAAUGACUGAUCUUUAAAAAAUACGUAAUAAUAGAAUAUUUUUAUAUUUAUUGAUUUAUUACUUUCUUACAGAAGCAAUUCCAUGUUAUGUAGUACAUUUUUGGUGUUAUUAAUCCAUCUGGCACCAUGAUCCCUAAACAAGGGUUAACACAUUCAUAAAAUUGUAGAACCAGUCAUUUUGACUACUGUGGUAUUUAUAGUGUUAGCAUCCAGCGAUCCAGCGGUCGAUCCGGAAUUUGCCUGAUAACUGUAAAAAUUUGAAAAAUACGUGGCAAAUUGUAUAAAACGAGGAAACUGGUUAAUUGGGGUUCGAUAAACAGAUUGCAGUACCCUUUUACACUUUGACAAUUAUCAGCCAUUUUGACUGGUAUUGUUAUAAGUAGCCUUGAUACAAAAUUAUUUUCAGUUUGAAUACAUAAAAAACAAAAUAAAAUUCAUUAUAUUAUUCUUUUAGUUAUCGUUGCGAAAGUCAUUACAAAUAAGUGUUUGUGAAAAAAAUAUAACAUGAAGUAGAAGUUUUAAAAUAAGAUUGUAAAACCAGUCAAUUUGACUAGUGUGGUAGUUCUAGUGUUAAUACAACUAUCAGAGGUGUCGUUGGUGUUCAACAGGGACGUAUAAAACAAAGGAGAAAUAUUCUGAAAUAUUGCGUUCUCGGAGGAGCACUGCAUCGAGUUUUAAUAGCUACAGAAUGUUCCAGCGACCUAUACAGUCGUUUACAGUUUUAAAAACCAAAGGUUUCUAAAAAAGCAGUUUCCACGUAAACAGUGCGAGAUAUGUGAAAAAGCGGAUCGCAGUUGUGACAAAGAUUUUGCCAUGGAUUUGCCAAUUUCACAGUAACAAAAAGAUCUACUUUGUAUUGUUUCCAAUAGAAUGUAAAUGUGACAUUUAGAAAUAUUUAGAUUGAUCGGAAAUUAUUUUUACCCGAUUUAUACGCGCACGGACACUGGCAGAUUAACAGGCCAUAUCAGUUGCGUUGCGAAUACGCCUUGUUCUCCGUAUCGAUCCUUUGUUUCAUUUCUUUCAUUUCAUGCACGAGCUUCCACUAUCAUUUCCAUGCGACGCGUACGACGUUUCGCCUUUCGUUUCGUAGCAUCGGAGAAAGCGAUGCAACCUGAUUGAACAAAGUCUAAUCUCUUGAGACGAGCUGCUCUUCCUUUCUCACGAUAAACUAACGCAUCUGGUAUUAUUCGAAUGGAAGAAAUAUCGCAAAAACACGGAAAUACGAGCCACGUACAAAUACAAAUAAAUAGAAACGAGGAGCUUGAACGAAGGUGAGGUGAUUAAGAAACGCAUGGCAGGUAAGAAAUCACGGCGGAAAAGAGACACGUCGAGUAAGAUUGAAAGUAGCGUGGUAAAUCGAGCAUUGACCCUUUUUGGGAUUCUUCCGCUCACCGAGAAAAGUGGAUGGACGAGCGUAAAGUGUACGGACUUGCUCGUGCUCAGCUCGGAAGACCAACGUGUACGCGUGUACACACGUACGCGCGGUACGUGUGCGUGCACAUGAUUCCAAGGUACGGCACCGCGUUACGUUCGGCGUUUCCCAACUCUGUUGACCCGAGCCUGGUUUGUGGCACACCAACAGGAUACGUCUUCAUGAAUCUGCCAGUGUUCCGCUCUUUUUUUAAACCAUACAUCGGUCUGACGACUUUAUAUAAAACUACCACAUCGUGUACAGGUAAUUUUUAGCUUACUAAAUUUAGUAUAAAGGUAAGGAUAUUUUAACUCUUGAUACGUAGGCGUAAGAAAAAAAGAGCCAUCUAGAAACCGUGAACCGCGUGAUAAAUUCGUAGAGAUUGUUCGAAAACGUUCUACGUCGCCAAAAUGUCCGUCUAUGUACGUUAACGAUAACACGACUCGAGCAACUUCAAUCGAGAAAGAUAAUUCGUUACGAACCGAGAGGCCGAGUGAGAUGAUUUUUCGAAUAAAUAGCGGCGAUUCGUGGAACUAACAGUGGACAUAGCCGAUCUGCUAUGCGCUGUUUUGGUCGAUGCCUUUGUUACGUAAGGAGUUUUAGUAGACGCGAAGUGUAGCAGGUGCGUACGCGCGAUGCUUCCCCGAGCUCUGUCUACCCGCGUAUGAACGAUUCUAGCAAACGAGGAACAUUUAGUGUAAGACAAACUUACGCGAGUCAGCGAUCUCUUUGAUUCGUCCUUCGAUUUUCCACGUGGGUUGCUCUAUCGAGGAACGUAGAGCGAGCGCCCUUCUCUGAAAACAAACGCGUUGUUAAGCUUCGUAGUUUCGCAUAAGUCGUAGUGAAAACACCGUAAAUACGUUAGAGCAAUGGUAAGCUAAAUACGUAAUAUUCUCGCACAGACAGAAAAUUGUAUAUCAGCUUGCACGUGGCCUAAUUGGAACUCGCUGGACAAUAGCAGCGAACAGAAUGAGGUAAGGAGAAUACGACUGAAAACUAAUUUCGCAAAAUGAAAACAGAUACUGUUACCGUUGACUAAACAUCACUGCCCUAUGUUGCUCAAUAACCUUGUUUCUCCCUCAAUGCUCUAGAUUGGUAAAUUUUCAUAUGCAAAGUGCAACGUUUCUUUUCAAUAACACUGAAUCCUAUUUUUUUAUCAUUUUAGCUUUUCGAAAAAUUUACAGAAAUUCCUAUUACAUCGUACGGUCCGUUCGUUCGAAUAUCUUCCCCGAAAAAGAAAAAAAAAAAAAAAAGAAAAAUUGGAAGGUAAGGCUAUAGUAAAACUCAAGGAUGGAAUUUCGCUUACAUCAUCGAGUUAGUUUACCUGCAGAGGUUCGAGCGUAUUAAUUUUCCUAUAUCGACGUUUACGAUCAAGGGUGAAUCGAUGUACGAAGAACGACGAGCAACGCCAAUUAGAGAAAGCUAGGCUGAAUUUGAACGGAGAAGGAAAGUGGGAACGAGGACAAGGUAGGAAAAGAGAAGAAGUGGAAGAGGAAAUGGAAGAGGAAGAGGAAGAGGUACGGUUGCAGGAGGUGAACAUGGAGCGAGAGAGAGAGAGAGAGAGAGAGAGAGAGAGAGAGAGAGAGAGAAAGCCGGAUAGGUGGGAAUUCUGGCUGGUGGUUGGGUUGGUAAGGGAGGGCCUGUGGUGCUAGAGCAUUUGGUAUCCGUGGUUCAGAACGGUAGCGGCUAGGCAAAAGGGGGCUAGAGGAGAGCAGGGUCGAUGACCCUUGCACGUGGAGUGUUCGGAAGUAGGCCACGCCGUGACAUCACGCAAAAGCAAGAUGGCAGUCGGGAAACGGGCACAUUCUCACAAGUAUGCUCGGCAUACGACUCGACGGAGACGUGCCGACGCCUGUGCAAUCGAAUCUUUUCCUUGGGCGAGGGUGCGUUCCGAUAUUCAACGCCAUCUCUCAUCACGACCUCUUCCUUCUUCUCUCUCCAUCUUCCUCCUAUCGGUCUUCUGCUCUUGUCGCGUUUCAAGCAUCGCGGUUCGAUGCGUGCCAAUGUUUGCGGUGACUAUCGGAAAUCAGAACGCGUAAUUUUCAUGCAGCUGCCGGUCGAGUUGCAUCAGCAUCUCCCAACUCGCGUGCAUCAAACGUGUCACGAUAGCUGGAAAUUUUCCGAUUGUUUCCAACCAAAUCCGCUACAUCUUCUAAUAAACGUUCGCUCGAACAGCAAUACGUCACGUUUCACGAGUUCGCUCCGCUAAAUUUUACAUCGUGCUUUAUUAAGGUCUCGUGAUAACGUCUCGUGAUAAUCGAUGAGAAUGUCGCGUCUCGUUCAACGGCCAAACGCCACAAAAAAAGAAAUAAAAUAAAAAGAAUAAAAGAACCGUACAAGUUAUCAGGAGGAAAAAAGACGAGCGCAAUUACUCGGUUGGUAUCGUCGCGUUCGAGUGAAAUAAUCAGUGUCGACGGGAAUUGUCGUACGAUUAUGCGUUAUACAAUCGCGAGACAAACAAAAACUUUAUUACCAGCGAAUAAUCCCGAGCGUGAUCGUUGCAAGCGAUUAGACAGAUCGUACGACGUUAGAACGAAACGGACAGCGAAUCGUGAAAAUCGCGGGUCGCACGGAAUCACGACCUCGAAGGCAUAGCGCGCGCGCCAUCCGUGUCCGUAUGCAUUGCGUGGAGUCGCGUUGCGUAUUCGUCGUGCGUGUGCACGGAUGCAGCCGCGGAUAGCGUUCUUUAUUCCGAACGUGCGAGCGCGAGAACGUGAGCAGGUAUAUGGCACCGUUGAAUAUUGGACGAAAGUCAAAUUCAUCUUACAUUAUUUUAGCGUUCGCGGCGAGCCGAUGUAUUACAGAAAUACGAGCUCGUCUGUAGCGUGCGUGCGAGCGUCUAUGAUUUCUGUUUGUAUUUUAAUUGCGAUGAUGUAAGCUCAUGCGGAUGCACACACCAAGUUUUCCUUGCUCCACCUACCGCUUCGUCUCUUUCGGUUUCGGAAUUUUUGAUAUGUAUAUACUUAAAGUCAAGUUUCGACCAGGCGUAUAAACGUACGAAGAAUCGUAUUUAUGUAAGUACAAGUACGUAACGCGUAUAUCGUCGUUAUCAGGUAUGCGUGGUAUGAUAGGGAAUUUUAUAGGGAAUUAUAAAAUACAACGCGAAGACGAAAAGUGUUUCUUUCCUGCAAAAUCUAUUGCGUUUGUAACAACGAAAAUUCUUUAGACGGUAGAGCCUGGCAAUUGUUCCACGGAAAGUACAAAGUCUAGUACGAGUUGGUAUACUACAGGCAUAGAAGUGUACCUACUUGCGAUGCAAUUACGGUGAUGUAACGCGCAUAUCUUAUCGGAAAAUUUUAUUUCUAUUUCCAUUUCUAUCUGUUCAUAAAAUAAACGAUUAUUUCAGAGUUUGUGCUUUGUUUCACACUUCCACUUUAGACGUUAAAUAACUGUAUGCGAAUGUAAUUAAGUUAUUUAUAAACGUAUUGAACAACAUUUAAAAAGAAGUUACGUAAAUAAAUCGUUUUCUAUGAAACGUA